UACGUAGGCAGCGAGCGUUGUUCGGAGUUACUGGGCGUAAAGAGUGCGUAGGCGGUUUUCUAAGUUUGGUGUGAAAUCUCCCGGCUUAACUGGGAGGGUGCGCCGAAGACUGGAAGGCUUGAGUAUGGGAGAGGUAAGCGGAAUUCCUGGUGUAGCGGUGAAAUGCGUAGAUAUCAGGAGGAACACCGGUGGCGAAGGCGGGUCUCUGGGAAGUAACUGACGCUGAGAAGCGAAAGCGUGGGUAGCGAACAGG
rnacentral:rRNA from 1 species